rnacentral:rRNA from 1 species
UACGUAGGGGGCAAGCGUUGUCCGGAAUCAUUGGGCGUAAAGAGCGUGUAGGCGGCCCGAUAAGUCCGCUGUGAAAGCCCGGGGCUCACCCCCGGAAGUGCAUUGGAUACUGGCGGACUCGAGUCUCGGAGAGGAGGGUGGAAUUCCUGGUGUAGCGGUGAAAUGCGUAGAUAUCAGGAGGAACACCGGUGGCGAAGGCGGCCCUCUGGACGAUGACUGACGCUGAGACGCGAAAGCGUGGGGAGCAAACAGG